rnacentral:rRNA from 1 species
AUACGUAGGGGGCAAGCGUUAUCCGGAAUCAUUGGGCGUAAAGAGCUCGUAGGCGGUUCAGCAAGUCGGCUGUGAAAGUUCAAGGCUCAACCUUGAAAAUGCAGUCGAUACUGCUGUGACUAGAGUCUGGUAGAGGAGAAUGGAAUUCUCGGUGUAGCGGUGGAAUGCGCAGAUAUCGAGAGGAACACCAGUAGCGAAGGCGGUUCUCUGGGCCUCGACUGACGCUGAGGAGCGAAAGCAUGGGUAGCAAACAGGAUUAGAUACCCUGGUAGUCCAUGCCGUAAACGUUGGAUACUAGGUGUGGCGUUCUAUCAACGAAUGCCGUGCCGAAGCUAACGCAUUAAGUAUCCCGCCUGGGGAGUACGGCCGCAAGGCUAAAACUCAAAGGAAUUGACGGGGCCCGCACAAGCGGUGGAGCAUGUGGUUUAAUUCGAAGCAACGCGCAGACCUUACCAACCCUUGACAUCCUAGGACAACCUGA